rnacentral:rRNA from 1 species
AUUGAACGCUGGCGGCAGGCCUAACACAUGCAAGUCGAGCGAGCGGCGGACGGGUGAGUAAUGUCUGGGAAACUGCCUGAUGGAGGGGGAUAACUACUGGAAACGGUAGCUAAUACCGCAUACCAUCAGAUGUGCCCAGAUGGGAUUAGCUAGUAGGUGGGGUAACGGCUCACCUAGGCGACGAUCCCUAGCUGGGCUGAGAGGAGGACCAGCCACACUGGAACUGAGACACGGUCCAGACUCGUCCGGGGGGCAGAAGUGGGGAAUAUUGCACAAUGGGCGAAAGCCUGAUGCAGCCAUGCCGGGUGGGUGAAGAGGGCCUUCGGGUUGUAAAGCACUUUCAGCGGGGAGGCGUUACCCGCGGAAGAAGCACCGGCUAACUCCGUGCAAGCAGCCGCGGUAAUA